UCAUUCAUUCAUUCAUUCAUUCAUUCAUUCAUUCAUUCAUUCAUUCAUUCAUUCACCAGCCUGGUCACGGUGAGGGCCUUCUGCCAGGGUAGUCAGCAGUGCUCAGUGGAAGCGAGCAACAACGUUUUCGGUGGAGACCCUUGUCCAGGCGUCGAGAAGUACUUGGAGGUAUCACACCGCUGUAUCAUAGCGACAGACCCCAUCGACCACUUCCAGCCACGCCGACAAACAGCGUUUCCCACAUCAGUGGUACGUGUUACUACCACCGGUACCAGUACCGUAGACAGUUGUGCAGAAUCUUGCCUGGUUUCUCCGUCCUGCUUGGCCUUCCAAUGGCCACGUGCAAUCAGCUUCUCCAAUACCUGCCACCUGUACCGAGAAGUCGGAGAGCCGAUAGCUGACAGCACCAGUGACUUGUACUUCAAGAUUCUACCCACGCAACCGGCGACGCAACCGACAACUACUCAAGGUUAUACUACCGAAGCAAAGUACGUGCCUGCAGACGACAAAGUGGGGCCUGGUGUUCUGGCGGGAGUUGCCAUAGCGACGGCAGUCGUCGGGUUCAUUCUCGGAGUGGGGGUGAGCCAGCUGGUGCAGUGGUGCCGUUCCAAGCCGAAGGGGGAAAGUUCAAGGCAGGCUGAUU